CGCCUACACGCGCCGCUACCGUCCCCCGCGCCGCCCACGCGCCUACUGUCUGCGGUGACUAUCCAUUAGCGCGCACGUGCGCGCCCUAAGCCGGCAUGAUGUCAGCCCUAAUCUGCUUACAUCAGCCCUAAUUCUGCUGACAUCAACCCUAAAUCUGCUGACGUCAGCCUAAUCCGCGUGAUGUCAGCCCUCGCACAGUGACAUCAGCGCACUGGUAAAUUACAACAGUCCUUGGCCCCUGGCAGACAACCCUCUGAUUUGUUCAUUAGCUCAGCAGUUUCUGAUUUCGACAGUUUUGGAGACCCCAAAGUUUUGCAAUUCUUCCUAUGUUGUGCUUCCAGGUUCUGUUCUUUUGAGUAAAUUGGGUCUUCUGAUUCCGUUUCCGCAUCUCGGUUUUUGCUAUUUCUACUCCGUUACUGCUGUAAUUGGCUAUAUUUUUGCUCUAUUUGUUUCUUGUUUUCUCUACGAUUUGAUUUUUGUACUCUUAGGCUGAUUAUUAUGAUAAAUCUGAAAUUUUUAGACCUAUUAUUUUACUACUUUGGACGACCCAAUAUAUACCAUGUCCUCAAGCGAUGUCCAGUUUUCUCAAAGGAAGAAACCUGGCGUACGUUACUGGUGAUAGUAGGCAACCAUCCUAGGUUUCUGCUGAGACGGCUACUGAGUUCAUCGUCCGACUAGAAGAAUUGGAUAUAAAACCAUCAGAUUAUCACGUGAAUCCGAAAUACUUCUAUUCUUCAAUCAGUCUACAGUUUGGGCGAUUUGACACUGCUCAUUCCAUCUCUGGGAUUUUCUUGUCACCAGAUAUACUACUGCUGAUCUGACUUGGUCAAUAUCAGCUCAUGACUUCCCUGUACCCCGACAGAGACAGGAACCUGGACAUCUAUCAGUGCUUUCUUUCUUGCCUCAGAUAUAUUCUAUAUGGGAUCAGUGACACCGUCUUAUCCCAAGUGGUUAUGUGCGGUGAUCUCUACUUUGUUUGCCACUUAAUUCGAGAUCACAACGCUUAUAGUCGUUUCUUAUGGGACUCGCUGAUAUAUAUGAGCCGGUUCUAGCAUCUCUCCUUCAUCUCAUCCCUCUUCCUACAUUGGAGCAGGCUAUCCUGAGGUGUUAUCUGAAAGACUCGUCUUGGCCUGUCCUCGACUUCCCAUGUGGCCACUGCUUUUGCUACUCCUGGUUCAAGAGGACGUUGGCUCCUCUGGGGUCUCGCAGUUUUUCAGGCUCUGGUUCUCAAUCUCUGGUGGUUCAGCGUCGCCGACCUAAUGAUGCACAUUCUGUCAUGCUACUGACCAUCGCUCUGCUCACUUGUCCUAUUCCGGGUUUGCAAAAUUCUGUCGCCGCCAGCGGACCUGGCCAUUAAGGUCCGACUGUCCCAAUAAUCCUAUCCGUCGAGACACUCGCCCUCAUUCUAACUGCUGCCCACUACUGUGUGUCCUCUACUGCUAUUCCUCCCCGCCUCUCCUACACUGUCCGAUGUCAGUGAUCUUCCUGCUCUUGUUCACAGAUUAUGGAUGUCCACCUCCGGUCAUCCUUCUCUACUGCCUUGUCUGCCUCUACAUGUUAUAUCUUCAUUGGCUUUUUUGACCUCUGGUUGUAGUAACUCAUAUGACAUCUGUUUAUCUUGUGUUCUUCCUCUAAAUCAUAUGAUCUUCAUUUCCUGUUGUUCAUUAACUGCUGAUGGUUCCUCUAGACUGUUGAGCAUGUUGGACAUGUCUCCCCUUCCGCUCUAUCUCUUCCAAUCCUAUACGGUCCGUAACCCGUUCACUUAAUCUAUUUCCUGUUGUCAAUUAUGUGAUCUGGACUUCUGUACUUUUUCUCUUUCCCACUGGUUGUGUUGUGCAGGUCCGCGGACUGGUCAGACUCUUUGAUAGGCCGUAUGCAUGGGCGCCUUUUUCAGCUCAUACAUCUUCACCUUCCUAUUUCUACUGCUAUGCUAACUACUGCUAUGCCCGCCACUUCUACACGUUCUUCGUCACGCAUCCUUCGCAACUUGGCAUUCCUCGUUUAGGUCAUGUGUCGUUGGUCGAUACUUUUCUUGUAUCUAAAGGUGUUUUAGGUUCUACAUUAAUGAACACCUUGAUUUGUCAAUCUGUCAACAUGCUAAGCAACCUGCAUAUCUUUUACUAAAAGCCUUCUGUCUCCUCUGCGCCCUUUGCUUAGUUUCAUUCUGAUAUUUGGGGCCCUUCUCCCACUUCUACUAUGGGGGUUCCCAGUAUUUUGUUUAUUUUGUGGAGAUUUCUCACAUAUACUUGGCUUUACCUUUUAAGAUCGAUCCCAAUUACACAAACUUAUUAUGAUUUGCUCAGCAUGAUGCAAAAUCCAAUUUUCUCCCCGUGUUAUUCAACGUCUUUCCCGCUCCAACAUACUCAAGAAGACUGUGAUACCUCCUUCCUUGCCUUUUUACGGACCCAAGGCACUCUUCCCCACCCCGAUCUUUGUCCUGGUACUUUCCAACAGAAUGGGCGGUCAGCACGUAAACAACCGUCAUUUACUUGAUCCUACUUCGGCUCUACUAAUUUCUUCUAGUUGUCCCAGCGCUUUUAAGGGGGAAAGCGCUCUCAAUACAACCGCUGUCUAUACUAUUAAUCGGUUCCCUCACCCCUCUCUUGGUAAUCUUCACUCCGUACGAGCUCUAUAUGGUACUCCUCCCCGAUUUAUCAUUUCCUCGUGUCUUUUGGUUGUACCUGUUUGUUCUAUUACAACCACAUGAUCGAACUAAAACUAAGCCUAGGUCUCGUCUGUGGUUGCGUCUGGGGUAUGGAAUUGAUGCAUAAGAAGGCUAUCGUUGUUUUGGGUAUCCUUGUCUCGUUGUCUUUCGAGUAUCUCGUCACGUUUUUCUUUUUUGGGAACAUAAGAUAUCGUCUCUCUGUCCUCUUUUUCAGAUGACAUCUUCUUCCAACUCCUUCCUACCUUACUGAUCCGUCCAUUGAUCUUUUCCCUAAAGAGGUUACUGUUGCCUUGCGACCCGCCUGAUGAAUACUUUCCAUGUGGCCCACCCAGCCCUUGUCUAUCCCCGUGAUUCUUCGUCCACUGAUCCUGCACCUCCAGCUCUGCCUCCUUUUCCUCUACCUAGUGUACAUUCCCUUCCGUCGUUCCACUCGGGUAAGGAAGUUCCUUCUUUAUCUUCGCGACUAUCAUUUUUUUCUACUGUCUUAUCCCCAAUAUGAGCCUCGCUCCUAUCGUUGAGUCAAUUACUAUCCCUUGGCAGCAAGCAUGACUGAGGAACUACGGCCUCUUGUAGGACUCACACUUGGGAACCCCGUUGUUUGAUCUUCCUCCUGACAAAUCUAUUAUUUUUGUGUCGCUGGUUUAUAAGAUCAAGACUCGAGAUGAUGUACGGUGGAAGGCGAUACAACUCGUCUGUGUUGCGUAAGGGUUUUUUAACUCAGAGUAUGGUAAUGGACUAUGAGGAGACUUUUGCUCAUGUUGGGCCAGACUUACCUCUGUUCGGAGUCUUGCUUGCUGUUGCUGCUACUCUGGUUGGUCCUUAUGGUCAUAGAUGGAAAUUUAAGAAAUGGUUUUUCUCAAUGGUGAUUGACUGAGGAAAGUUUAUAUGCAGGCUUCCUCCUGGUUCUUCAUCCUAUCCUCCUCUAAUCAGGUAAAUGUCGGCUUCGUCGUGCCGCUUUAUGGUCUUAACAACCUCCGCGUGCUUGGUAUGCCAAGUUUUAGCUCUACCAUCUGUGAUCUUGUGCUUCUCUGCUAGUGCCUUGACUCGGCUCUCUUCUCGGCAGUCUACUCAUAUCAAUUUUUCUCCUUCUUCUCUAAUGGGAUGAUAUGAUUAUUACUAGAGAUGAUGUCAUUGGUAUCUCUGAGUCCAGACUUUCUUCAAUCGUCCCUCUCUGAGAUGAAGAUCUUGGUCCCUUGAGCUCUUUUCUUGUCUUUUCUUGGUCUUGAGGUUUCCUCUGGCUCUCGCUGGAUACUCUCUUACUCAGACCAAGUACUGCCUCCGGAUCUUCUUACCUUGCUGGCCUUUCAGAUUGAAAAGACAGUCUCUACCCCCUCCUGGAUGCCAUGAUUGUCUUAACUCUCUUGAUGGAGACCUGCUAUCUGAUGCACCCCCUAUAUAAUACAGCUCGUCGCAGCCUGAUUACCACCCUGACUGUCCUCGUCCUGACUUGCUCUGCUAUUCAUCUUGUCAUCAGUUUCAUGCUGCACUCCACUCAUUAGGCUGUCCGUACUUCGCUAUCCUUCGGUAUGUUUCAAGGGCAACCCUUUUCAUUCAUGGUCUACAUUUCUCCCGUCAGUCCUACCUUUCAGCUCUAUGCCUAUUCUGAAUGCGAUUGGGCUGGGGAUCCUACCGGAUCGCGUCUACACUGGCUUCUGCUUCCUUCUUAGGCGACUCGCCGCAUCUCUUGGCUUAGUAUAAGGCAGACUCUUGUUGCUCGUAGUCUAGCAUGAGACUGAGUAUCGGUGCUCUUGCUGACACCACAACAGGACUCCUCUGGCUUCGAUGGCUUCUUUAAGACAUGGUGCGUCAUCAUUCUGGGCUACUGUACUUCACUUUGCAAUCGCAGGGCCAUAAAUUGAUUGCCAACAAUGAGGUUUUUCAUGAUCGUACUAACAUAUUGAGAUUGACUGCCAACUUUAUUCGACAGCAUGUGGUUCGCUGGUACUUUCACACCUUCUGCCUCGUUUCUUCUGCCGACCAGACAGCUGAUAUCUUCACUAAAUCUCUCUUACCUGUUCUCUUUUGAGCUCUUGUCACCAAACUCAAGUUGGUCUCUUCCUGCAAAACCUUCUUGAAUUGAGGGGGGUGUUAGUGUAUACUAACCUAGGGUAGAUUGGUCUUUUUAACCUUAACCUAGUUUUGUCUAUAUAUACUCUCUUUCUCUUCCUUUGUAACUUAACAUCUCUCAACAUAUAUCAACAUUUCUUUCUUCUCUUUCUCUCUCUAGACUAUCACCAACAUACAUAUAGUUACCAUUAUUCUAACAUAUUGACAGGAAAAAUUCACUGAGUUUUCUUGCUAGUCUCUUCUUAGACCCACCCAUGUUCAACCCGUGGCCUUUCUCAUUCCGAUUUCUUUACAUAAUGUUAUUCUUAUAUUUAAUUAUCAGCUCAUUUGAAAAAUUAAUAGGCUCUAAUUUACAUUAAAAAAAUAUUUUCAUAUUUCCUAAUCAGAAUGAUUGUGAUUUGUCGGCAAAAAAAGGCAACUUACUUUUUUGAUUAAUAUCUACUUUUAUAAAGGAGAGUGAUUUUCACGAUUCUCAGUUCUUCAAUUGUGCUCCAUAUUUUUUGUAUUUGUUAGAGAGAAUUUACUCAAAUAUUCUUAUAGUGAAAAUGUUAAGUAAAAGAGGUAUUUGGGUAAAUUCACUCUAUUAAAUACAAACAAAGAAGUACAAUUAAAAAAAAAUAGAUCACAAAAAUUAUUAGCCUUUAUAAGUAUCUUCUCUUUCUAGUAAUUAAUUUUCAUGAACAAAAAAUAAAAUAUUUGAGUGAUGCUUUUUGAUCGAAAAUCAUGUGAUCAUCUUUCGUGGCCAUUUUUUAUAAAAAUAAAUUAACUCAUAAUUUUAAAAAUGAAUAAAAGUUUAGAAAAUAAUUAUAUUUACAUAUAAAAAUGUGUACUAACCACAUAUCGUAGUGAGACUCACGUAACGUAAUUGGGCGUGUAAGAGAAUCUCUAAUUCUUCAUAAAUCUAAAUUAAAUGAGAAAAAGAGAUAAAAAUAAAUUUCAAUUUUUUCAUUAAACUUGAAUAAAUUAGAAAAGAACCAAAUGCUUCAUUUAACCAAGGAUGACAAUGGAAGAAAUUGCAUGAAAGUCAAGUGAUACCGCAUUAUUCGAAUGUAAUUGCCAAUGUUAAAAGUUCAUUCACUUUAAGGUUUCACUAUUUCAAUGUAAUGCUACGAAUGCUAUAAGGGAGUCUCUCACAAAUCUCUCUAUUAAUGGCGAUUUAUAAUUGAAUUUAUCACUGCAAUGGGAUUUGAGCGAUUUACAGUGAGAAUGAAAAAAUUUUUUUGAUUUUAUCCAUCAAAUGAUAGUACAUGUAUGGAAAGAGUGAAAACAUAUCUAAAAACAUAACAUUCAUUAUCAAUUAGACUAAUUAGGCAGAAAAAUAAAAAUAUAGAAUUAAAAUUACGGAAAUAAAAAAAUCAGGGACCAAAAUCACGAAUGGAUAAAACUACAAGGACUACUCUUGCAAUUUGACCAUAUUUUUAAAUUCAAUUUGACGAAAUAGUUUUUUAAAAUUUAUGAUUGAAAACAUGGUCUCUAUGAAUUUCUCUAGAAAAGCACAUUUAUUAGCAAAAAUUAUACUGAUGGUAUUUGAAAUUCUCAAAAAUUAUUUCUACUUAAAAAGAUAAAUAAUACUGAUGGUAUUUGAAAGUUGAAACGUGUUCUCUAUCAUCUCUGCAAUCAUAUAUGCGGUGAUCUGCCACCGUGUUUUAUUUCUGUCUUAGCAAUAAUGCACAAAACGACAAAGUCUCAAUAAUACUUUUACAAUGAACAAAAAUACAAGUACAAGUAAGAUGGUAAAGGCCAAAUAAUUUAAGGUAAAUUACACUCAACCCCCCCUCUAAUACAUUUACUAUCAUACAUCUCUUUGUUUCUUUAAGAUGUUUGGUUUUUGGCAUUUUUUAUUUUAUGUUAAUGUAAUAGAAUAUGAAUAAUGAUUGGUACACACCUAAAAGUGGGUGUGUCUUGACAAUGAACAAAAAUACAAGUGCAAGUAAGAUGGUAAAGGCCAAAGCAACCACUCUAAUAAUUUAAGGUAAAUUACACUCAACCCCCCCUAAUACAUUUACUAUCAUACAUCUCUUUGUUUCUUUAAGAUGUUUGGAUUUUGGCAUUUUUUAUUUUAUGUUAAUGUAAUAGAAUAUGAAUAUGAUUGGUACACACCUAAAAGUGGGUGUGGUACAGACACACCCAUUUUACUCUUUCACAAAUAAGUGAAAACACCUACCCCCUUAAUUAGGGUUUUUUAUAAAAACGUGAAAACCCUAAUAAUGCCCAGAUUUAGCCUCAAUCACUUGGUAUUAUCAAAGUUGUUGAUGAAACGAUAAAAAAAAAAAAAACUCAGAACUAAAAAUACUUGAAUUUUUUAAAAAAGUAGGCCAAUUAGCAUUUAAUUAUAAAUUUUAAGACAGAAUUUUAAAUAAUUUAUCAUACAACUAAAAAUUUUGUACAAUUUUUUAAAUAUAAAUAUCAGAGUAUUUGUGAACUUAAAUUUUAUCUCUUUUUUAUUUUAUGUUUAUUUAUUUUUUAUUAAAAUUAAUUAAUAAAAAAAAAUUUUUUUUUUAAAAAAAACCAAACAUAUAAUAAAAAAACUUAUCCAAAAAAAAACUGAUAAAAAAAAUAAAUUAGAUUAAAAAAGUAAAUAAACUAAUUAAAGAAAAACUAAAAAAAAAUAAAAAAAUCCGCGGGGUGGGGUGGGGUGGGGUGGGGUGGGGGGGGGGGCCUGUGGUCAGGGGCAUAUGGUCUUUUUGCUCUUACAGGGGAGGUCAUGCAUUUUAAAAACUACAAAGGGCAGGUCAGUGCAAUUUAAAAACCUCAGGGUGUGAAUGAAG
rnacentral:lncRNA from 1 species